rnacentral:rRNA from 1 species
UGGGUUCAGAACGUCGUGAGACAGUUCGGUCUCUAUCUAUCGUGGGCGUAGGAUAUUUGAGGGGCUCUGACACUAGUACGAGAGGACCGUGUUGGACAGACCACUGGUUUACCGGUUGUACCGCCAGGUGCACCGCCGGGUAUCUAAGUCUGGAUUGGAUAAGUGCUGAAAGCAUCUAAGUACGAAGCCAGCCUCAAGAUAAGAUAUCCCUGAGGGUCGUUGUAGACUACGACGUAGAUAGGCUACAGGUGUAAGGGCAGUAAUGUCGAAGCCGAGUAGUACUAAUCGCCCGAGACUUUCGUAU